AUGCUCACUUCGGCAGCACAUAUACUAAAAUUAGAAUGAUGCAGAGAAGAUUAGCAUGGCCCCUGCACAAGGAUGACAUGCAAAUUCAUGAAGCAUUCCAUAUUUUU
rnacentral:snRNA from 1 species